UGCAGCGAUGCCGCGUGAGUGAAGAAGGCCCUUGGGUUGUAAAGCUCUUUCGUCGGGGAAGAAAAUGACUGUACCCGAAUAAGAAGGUCCGGCUAACUUCGUGCCAGCAGCCGCGGUAAUACGAAGGGACCUAGCGUAGUUCGGAAUUACUGGGCUUAAAGAGUUCGUAGGUGGUUAAAAAAGUUGGUGGUGAAAUCCCAGAGCUUAACUCUGGAACUGCCAUCAAAACUUUUUAACUAGAGUAUGAUAGAGGAAAGUAGAAUUUCUAGUGUAGAGGUGAAAUUCGUAGAUAUUAGAAAGAAUACCAAUUGCGAAGGCAGCUUUCUGGAUCAUUACUGACACUGAGGAACGAAAGCAUGGGUAGCGAAGAGGAUUAGAUACCCUCGUAGUCCAUGCCGUAAACGAUGUGUGCUAGACGUUGGAAAUUUAUU
rnacentral:rRNA from 1 species